rnacentral:rRNA from 1 species
AUGUAUCCACUGGCUUGGGCAGUAGUUGAGCAGGAAACAAAUGAGACAUGGAAAUGGUUCAUUGGUUUGCUCAUUAAAGAUUUGAACAUUAACAACAAUGGAGAUGGCUGGGUGUUCAUAUCUGACCAGCAAAAGGGUAUUCUCAAUGCCAUGAAUGACUAUCUUCCAAAAGCAGAGCACAGGAUGUGUGCUAGGCACAUCUAUGCCAACUGGAGGAAGAAACACAUGGCACAUGAGUGGCAGAAGAAAUUCUGGGCUGUUGCCAAAGCAGCAAACAUCCAAGAUUUCAAUUAUUAUAAAGCCAAGCUUGCACAAGAAACACCAGAGGGUGCAAAAGAUAUCAUGAGAACAGAACCAGUGCACUGGGCAAGGGCAUAUUUUGCAGUUGGUUCCAACUGUGAGUCAGUGGAUAACAACUUGUGUGAAUCAUUCAAUCAUGCAAUUGUGGAUGCAAGGUUUUAUCCAAUAAUUUCAUUCUAG